rnacentral:rRNA from 1 species
GAUGAACGCUGGCGGCGUGCCUAAUACAUGCAAGUCGAGCGAACAGACGAGGAGCUUGCUCCUUCGACGUUAGCGGCGGACGGGUGAGUAACACGUAGGUAACCUACCUAUAAGACUGGGAUAACUUCGGGAAACCGGAGCUAAUACCGGAUAAUAUUUCGAACCGCAUGGUUCGAUAGUGAAAGAUGGCUUUGCUAUCACUUAUAGAUGGACCUGCGCCGUAUUAGCUAGUUGGUAAGGUAACGGCUUACCAAGGCAACGAUACGUAGCCGACCUGAGAGGGUGAUCGGCAACACUGGAACGGAGACACGGUCCAGACGCCUACGGGAGGCAGCAGUAGGGAAUCUUCCGCAAUGGGGGAAAGCCUGACGGAGCAACGCCGCGUGAGUGAUGAAGGUCUUCGGAUCGUAAAACUCUGUUAUUAGGGAAGAACAAACGUGUAAGUAACUGUGCACGGCUUGACGGUACCUAAUCAGAAAGCCACGGCUAACUACGUG